AUUGUUAAACUAAUAAAGUAAACAAAAUCAAGAGGGGUGAAUAUAUAUUACUCAUAUAUAUUUCUCUUUCCUCCUGUGGCUUCUCUUUCUCUCCAAGCGCAUCGUUGGGAAGGAGUUGGGUGUAUUUUCACAACUGACAUGUGCUAUCAAAUGAAUUACACACAUUAUGGUGCUAUAUAUUUAAUAACUUUUUCAAAAACCGUCAUUUUUGUAAUUCACCCUACUAAAAUAAACCAUUACAAAUAAUAUAAAAGCCCAAUACAAUUAAAAAACCCAACAUACAAUCAAAAGCCCAACCCAAUAAUUUUUUUAGGGUUUUGCAAAGGAAUGAGCAAAGUGACUGCGGCUCUGGCUGUGAUUGUGACAGCGACGGUAAAAACCACGGCGAUCUCCGACCGUCCUAUUCCAACUUGAAGGAGUCCUAAUCAACAAUGCCACUAAACUGGAAAUUUGAAUCCGGCGUGCCAUCUUUUGAUCUGCAUGCCACUCUUGUAGUGGAUAAUACCUAUUUACCCUUAAUGAAUUAUAUCAAUUAAUUUUAAAAGAAAAAUCAAAAACAAAAUCCAAAUCGAAAUCGAAAUUAUCCCGACCCAACCCAAUUAAUUCCGACCCAAUUCAUUUAAUUCCGACGAGAUAGGCGAUUUCCGAUUAACUUCCAACAUCGGUGAUUUUUGACAUUGGCUCCGUCGAGUCUGGGGAAACUUUGCUAGGUCAGCUAAUCCAAUUCUCCGGCCGUCGAUUUCUCCGGUGCUGCGUGCUACGUGAGUCGAUACUAUUGGAUCGAAUUCUUUAUUGAUCUUUGCUGCGGCUACUCUGGAAACGAUCCUUCUUUAGUUCUUCCAUCUCCUGUAAGUAUUAUAGUUAGUACAAUGUAAUUGAAUUGAAUCAAUGUGUAAGCAGAAUCAAACCAUAUUUGCAUAAUACAAUGGAUGGACGAACUGAAAUUGAAUCAGACACUGGUACAUCUCGUGGUUCAACUGGUACUAAUA
rnacentral:sRNA from 1 species